rnacentral:rRNA from 1 species
UACGGGGGGGGUAAGCGUUGUUCGGAAUUACUGGGCGUAAAGGGCUCGUAGGCGGCCAACUAAGUCAGACGUGAAAUCCCUCAGCUUAACUGGGGAACUGCGUCUGAUACUGGAUGGCUUGGAUUCGGGAGAGGAAUGCGGAAUUCCAGGUGUAGCGGUGAAAUGCGUAGAUAUUAGGAAGAACACCAGUGGCGAAGGCGGCUCACUGGCCCGGUACUGACGCUGAGGCGCGAAAGCGUGGGGAGCAAACAGG